UCUUCAGGGUUCAGUACAUCCACAAAUGCAUCGAUCCCAUUUGAUGCUACAUAUUGAUUUGUAUAGAAGCUUUCGAAGACUAUUUUGUAUGCUUCCACCGCAGUUUUUGAUUUGUAAAACAAUGAGCUGCAAUCAAACGUGAAGCGUAGGUUAUGCCAGGAGUAAGCUACAUAGGAGUGUUGCAAUAAUCCAGUAGUUUCUGUAUUUGUGUUCCAACUCCCAUAACGAGGUUCAAUUGCGAUGUUUCUAGCAUGUCAAUGCUCAAAUCAAGUAUAUCAAUACUGGCAUUGUCGAUAGCGACACACAAAAAGAAGGGAAAGCAAGGAUUUGAACCCUCAACUUUUUAGUUGUAUAGUACACAACUUAACCACAACGAUGUCCCCUCCGAGACAUUCAGUUUGAUAGGACAUUCAAAUCUCAUGGGAUAUAAAACUUAGUUUGGGCCGCCACAUGUUUUAGCAACAAUUUAUUUGAUCUUGCAAACUUGAUUUAUCUCGCGUCGGACGCAACUAUUGGAUGAAAAA